GGGGAUUGAUGGAAUGUACAUUCCAUCUCCCAAAAUGAAUGAAUGAUAUUAAUUUGUUAAAAGUACUCCUUUGACCAAUUUGACUUUUGAUCCAUUCCCAUUCCUCUUCAUAUCAUUCCCCUUCUUUAUUCAUUCAUCUCAUUUGGCCUAUGAUAUCCCAAAGUCCUAAAUCUAGUUGAUUGAAAAAUUAACAUGAGUAUGGA
rnacentral:lncRNA from 1 species